UUAAAUGGUGUCAGGUGGCGGUCGACAGUAUUAAAUGGUGGCAGAUGGUGUCAGGUGGCGGUAGACAGUAUUAAAUGGUGGCAGAUGGUGGCAGAUGGUGUCAGGUGGCGGUAGACAGUAUUAAAUGGUGGCAGAUGGUGUCAGGUGGCGGUCGACAGUAUUAAAUGGUGGCAGAUGGUGGCAGAUGGUGUCAGGUGGCGGUAGACAGUAUUAAAUGGUGGCAGAUGGUGGCAGACGGUGUCAGGUGGCGUUAGACAGUAUUAAAUAGUGUCAGAUGGUGGCGGUAGACAGUAUUAAAUGGUGGCAGAUGGUGUCAGGUGGCGUUAGACAGUAUUAAAUGGUGGCAGAUGGUGGCGGUAGACAGUAUUAAAUGGUGGCAGAUGGUGUCAGGUGGCGGUAGACAGUAUUAAAUGGUGUCAGGUGGCGGUCGACAGUAUUAAAUGGUGGCAGAUGGUGUCAGGUGGCGGUAGACAGUAUUAAAUGGUGGCAGAUGGUGUAAAAUGGCGGCAGACGGUGUCAGGUGGCGGUAGACAGUAUUAAAUGGUGGCGGAAGAUGGUGUCAGAUGGCGGUAUAUGUGUUAAAUGGUGUUAAAUGGUGUCAGAUGGUGGUAGACAGUUACAUGGUGUCAGAUGGUGUUAGACAGGUCAGACAGUGUCAGAUGGUGUUAAAUGCUGUCAGAUGGUGGUAGACCGCGUCAGAUGGUGGUAGAUUUUAAACAGGGAGGAUUGUGUAAGCAUCCGUUCUGUUGGUGAGAACACACACUUUGAUACAUUUUCCAACCUCAAGACAUGGUUGUGACACAACUGUGUACUACUAAUAAGUCUGAAGGUUUCAUAAGUACAUUUAUAGCAGGGCACUGCUCAAUUCCCGUUUUUGAAAUCAUACAGAUACACCUACUAUAGAUCUUAACUGUACCCUACUUCAUUUUGAAUUAUUAUUGUGUUUUUGUCUUGUCAGCUAGGCAUCUAUGCAUGAUUGUUGAAACUUCUUACUAAUGCAGUCAGAAGAGGAUGCUAUAAGCUUUGACUUUCCGAUAAGCAAAAGGAGGUUUGGGCUCAUUUUAAUGACUCAAAUGGAACGGUAUCAAACGGGGCCUCCCGAGUGGC